rnacentral:misc_RNA from 1 species
GAUGAAGAACGUAGCGAAAUGCGAUAAGUAAUGUGAAUUGCAGAAUUCAGUGAAUCAUCGAAUCUUUGAACGCACAUUGCGCCCGCCAGUAUUCUGGCGGGCAUGCCUGUUCGAGCGUCAUUUCAACCAUCAAGCCCCAGGCUUGUGUGGGGGACCUGCGGCUGCCGCAGGCCCUGAAAACCAGUGGCGGGCUCGCUGUCACACCGGGCGUAGUAGAUUUUAUCUCGCUCAGGGCGUGCUGCGGGUUCCGGCCGUUAAAAAGCCUUUUUUACCCAAGGUUGACCUCGGAUCAGGUAGGAAUACCCGCUGAACUUAAGCAUAUCAAUAAGCGGAGGA